CGCGUAGGCGGUUGACACAGUCAGGCGUGAAAUUCCUGGGCUUAACCUGGGGGCUGCGCUUGAUACAUGUUGACUUGAGUAUGGAAGAGGGUCGUGGAAUUCCCAGUGUAGAGGUGAAAUUCGUAGAUAUUGGGAAGAACACCGGUGGCGAAGGCGGCGACCUGGUCCAUUACUGACGCUGAGGCGCGAAAGCGUGGGGAGCAAACAGGAUUAGAUACCCUGGUAGUCCACGCUGUAAACGAUGUGUGCUGGAUGUUGGGCGGCCUAGCCGUUCAGUGUCGUAGCUAACGCGGUAAGCACACCGCCGUGGGGAGUACGGCCGCAAGGUUGAA
rnacentral:rRNA from 1 species